UACGGAGGGUGCAAGCGUUAUCCGGAUUUACUGGGUUUAAAGGGUGCGUAGGUGGAUAAUUAAGUCAGUGGUGAAAUCUUCAGGCUUAACCUGGAAACUGCCAUUGAUACUAUUUUAUCUUGAAUACUUUGGAGGUAAGCGGAAUAUGUCAUGUAGCGGUGAAAUGCUUAGAUAAUGACAUAGAACACCAAUUGCGAAGGCAGCUUACUACACAGUAAUUGACACUGAGG
rnacentral:rRNA from 1 species